CGUGUUCCAACAGGACAAUGAUCCCACGCACAUCAAAACUGGUUUUGAAUGGAUAAAGCAGGCUAACCUUAACCUUCUGGAAAGCCCCGACCUCAAGCCUGUAGAAAGGGCUACACUUUAAAGCUGGGUCGGUACCAGGAAACUUACCAAUUUAAAUGAACUACCAAUUCUGCCAAGAGGCGUGGUCAAAUAUCGAGCCAGAAGUAUGCCAGAAGCUUGCUGAUUGCUACCAAAAACAUCGUGCAAUUUGCAAAGGCACAUUUAACUAAUCAUUACUGGGGGAUUAUGUACACGGGAAAAUUGAGAGAAUGAUUUUUUCAGAGUUAACAUUAUUUUCAUCUAAGAGUCAUUUUUACUCAUUUUGGAUUGUAAUCAUUUCGAUUGGCUGCUAGAGUUGGAGCAAAAAACCAGAGGAAAUUAUGUUAGUGGGCGAGACCACGCCCACUAACAUUUCCUAAGUUUCCUUCCAGCAGUGGAACAGAGACAACUGUCAGCCGUGAGCCAGGAUGCCAGCUGUGCGUCUGAAGUGCAGAGAACAACAGAAGUACAUCUGUUUUGAGGGCCAACUGACCUACGGAUCGUUUUUGGAAUGCGUUGCCAAGGAGUUCAACAUCCCAAACAUAUGGCUUCCCUAAGAUACUUGAUCCAAUUGUGAAGGAUAUGAAAAUCCCGGAGAGAGAUGGAGUUAAGAUUCCCCUGUAUGACCCAGUACAUGGAACUAUUGUCCAAGUUACUGGUGACAGCCUUGGUCUAAACUGUCUGUUUGGUUUUGUAGAGUUUUCCUUAUGUGAUUGGUGUUAAACAGUCUUGCAUUCUAAACUCAUUGCAGAACUUAAUACAUGUGAAAGUUUCUCUGUUGAUAUUAUGCAUGAUAUCUUGGAGGGAGCGGCAUAAUAUGAAAUGAAACUGAUUAUGUUACAUGAUCAGUAUACAACAUCAAAGGAAGUGGACAGGAGAAUUAAAAACUUUAACUAUGGCUACAUGGAACAAAACAACAAACCACCUACAGUGAAGUUGGGAGAGGACUCAAAUGACUUGGGGUUAAAUGCCAUCCAGUCCUGGUGUUUACUUCUUACUCAUCUUUGGAGACUUAGUUUGUCCAAAUGAUCAGCACUGGUAUUUGCUACUGCUGUUGCUUCAAAUAGUGACUAUUGUAUUUUCACCAGUGUUAUCAAAAGGUAUCAGUAUUUUCUUGAAACACCUGAUCACCGAACACCACAGGUUAUUCAAACGUUUGUUUCCACACAAGAAGCUGCUACCAAAGCAUCGUUUCAUUGUGCAUUAUCCUACAUGUAUACUCAAAACAGGACCACUUUAGCAUAGCUGGUGCAUGCGCUAUGAAGCGAAACACAACUUCUUUAAAAAAAAACAAUUGAGAAGUUUAAAAAAUGUAACUAAAACAUUGGCAAUAAGACAUCAAAUUUGUGGACUGGGACCAAAUGCUGUCUUUUUUUAGAGUAAAAUUUUAUUCAAUUUGAGUCAAAUUUACUCAGUGAAACUUACUGUGCAUGGAUACUUCUGACACUGUGUGGAUUAGAGCAAAUCCAAAAUAAAUUCAAUUUUGUGCACACAGUUCUUGUCUAUUAAAGUCAUUAAAGAUGUGUGCUGUGGAAUCAUUGCACCCUAAAAAC